ACUGAGGUCUAUCCUGAUGGGUCUUUUCCAGUAGCCACACAUCAUUGGAAACACCUCAUACAGUAACGGUUGUGGUUUGCUUGACUCACAGGACUCUUUCUUAGGCCGGUGGGAAGGAACUACAAGACAGUU
ensembl:snoRNA